GGCCCUGUAGUGAAGUUCAUGGUGAGUUGCAAGCUCAUAGAUGUGCAUUAGUCGUGCGCCGGGGUCU
rnacentral:tRNA from 1 species